GAACCCACCUGGGUUGAAAACCGGGGGGAUGACCUAGGGCUAGGGGUGAAAGGCCAAUCAAAUUCCGUGAUAGCUGGUUCUCUCCGAAAUGCAUUUCGGUGCAGCGUCGCGUGACUGCCUCCGGGGGGUAGAGCUACUGGAUGCUUGAGGGCCCUUGCAGGGUACCGACAGCAGCCAAACUCCGAAUACCCGAGAGGUGUAUCGCGGCAGUGAGUCGGCGGGGGAUAAGCUCCGUCGUCGAAAGGGAAACAGCCCAGAUCGUCGUCUAAGGUCCCCAAGCGCGUGCUAAGUGGGAAAGGAUGUGGAGUCGCAUAGACAGCCAGGAGGUUGGCUCAGAAGCAGCCACCCUUGAAAGAGUGCGUAACAGCUCACUGGUCUAGUGGUUCCGCGCCGACAAUGUAGCGGGGCUCAAGCACGCCACCGAAGACGCGGCAGCGCCAUUGGCGCUGGGUAGGAGAGCGUUCCAUCCGGGGCGAAGCGGCGGCGUAAGCCUGCCGUGGACCGUUUGGAAGCGAGAAUGCAGACAUGAGUAGCGAAAGACGGGUGAAGAUCCCGUCCGCUGGAUGACCAAGGGUUCCGGGGCCACGUUCAUCGUCCCCGGGUUAGUCGGGUCCUAAGGCGAGGCCGACAGGCGUAGUCGAUGG
rnacentral:rRNA from 1 species